GACUACCGGGGUAUCUAAUCCUGUUUGCUACCCACGCUUUCGUGCCUCAGCGUCAGUCAUGGUCCAGAUAGCCGUCUACACCGCAGGUGUUCCUCCUGAUAUCUACGCAUUUCACCGCUACACCAGGAAUUCCACUAUCCUCUCCCACACUCUAGCUAGCCAGUUUUCGGCGCACCCUCCCAGUUAAGCCGGGAGAUUUCACACCAAACUUAGUUAACCGCCUACGCACUCUUUACGCCCAGUAAUUCCGAACAACGCUUGCUGCCUACGUAUUACCGCGGCUGCUGGCACGUAGUUAGCCGCAGCUUCUUCUCCGGGUACCGUCAUUAUCGUCCCCGUCGAAAGAACUUUACACCCCGAAGGGCUUCAUCGUUCACGCGGCGUCGCUGCAUCAGGGUUUCCCCCAUUGUGCAAGAUUCCCCACUGCAGCCGCCCGUAGG
rnacentral:rRNA from 1 species